GCCUCGAUCUCCAUAGAGACAAGAAGUUUUGGCAAGAUCUGAUUCUUUGGUCCUCAUAUGCUGGGCUCUGACAGCUCAGCCAUGGAGAGGUGCUGCUUAAACUAAGUCACUUUAAGCAACCAUUCAACAUACUUAUGCAAUCAGGUCAAAUCUGUCUCUAAGGAAGAGAAGACAACUGCUGGCUGCACUGAUAACUCUUGAACCGGGAUAGCGCACGUCUCGCUGAGAUCCCCAGAAGCCAGCUCUGAGCAACUCCUCACAUUUGCCCUUUGACUAAUUAAAGGUAAAUGGCAGUUGUCUCUCUACCAGAUUGUUUGAGAGCUACUAACUAGUUUUGGUUGAAUUCUUUAGCAGAAGAUGGAAAGAAAGGGGCUGGAAGCAGAAGAGAGAAGAAAUGCAAGACGGAGAACAGAGAGGGACCUUUUGUGAGUCAUUAGGCAACACACACCAGAGCAGCUAGAGUGGAGCCACCAAUCUCGUUUCCCAGAAACUAAACAAGCUACCACAGCUUCGAACUGUGUCUGGACUGCUGAAGCAUCCUCUGCCAACCAUCCUGUUCAAAAUAGCGACACAUCCCAG